rnacentral:rRNA from 1 species
GAGUAACACGUGGGUAACUGCCCAUCAGAUUGGGAUAACAGUCGGAAACGAUUGCUAAUACCAAAUAGGCUAUCGUCUCGCAUGAGACGAUAGGGAAAGACGGUGCAAACUGUCACUGGUGGAUGGACCCGCGGCGUAUUAGCUAGUUGGUGAGGUAACGGCUCACCAAGGCGAUGAUACGUAGCCGACCUGAGAGGGUGAUCGGCCACAUUGGGACUGAGACACGGCCCAAACUCCUACGGGAGGCAGCAGUAGGGAAUCUUCGGCAAAUGGACGAAAGUCUGACCGAGCAACGCCGUGUGAGUGAAGAAGGUUUUCGGAUCGUAAAACUCUGUUGUUAGAAAAGAACACCCCUGAGAGUCACUGUUCAGGGCAUGACGGUAUCUAACCAGAAAGCCACGGCUAACUACGUGCCAGCAGCCGCGGUAAUACGUAGGUGGCAAGCGUUGUCCGGAUUUAUUGGGCGUAAAGCGAGAGCAGGCGGUUCCUUAAGUCUGAUGUGAAAGCCCACGGCUCAACCGUGGAGGGUCAUUGGAAACUGGGGGACUUGAGUGCAGAAGAGGAGAGUGGAAUUCCAUGUGUAGCGGUGAAAUGCGUAGAUAUAUGGAGGAACACCAGUGGCGAAAGCGACUCUCUGGUCUGUAACUGACGCUGAGUCUCGAAAGCGUGGGGAGCAAACAGGAUUAGAUACCCUGGUAGUCCACGCCGUAACGAUGAGUGCUAGUGUUGGAGGGUUUCCACCCUUCAGUGCUGCAGUU